rnacentral:lncRNA from 1 species
ACUUCCGGCCGCUCGCAAGAUGGCGGCGCGCCGCGUUCUCCGCCUCGCGGAGCGCCAGGCGCGAUGGCUCCGCCCCUUGCCCCGCCCCCCGCAGCGGAUCGGCCAAUGGCGAGAGGCGCAGGGCCUCUCCCCGAGCACCUCCGGGCCCGGCCCCCUCAGGGACCUCCCGGACUGGAGCUUUUCGGACGGGCGCCCCUCCCCCCCCUGGCGGGGGCAGAUCCGGAGACUCGGCGACAGCAGAGAACUGAGGGUGAGAAACCAGUAUGGAC